CAGUAGCCACGGUAAUACGGAGGGCGCGAGCGUUACCCGGAUUUACUGGGCGUAAAGGGCGUGUAGGCGGCCUGGGGCGUCCCAUGUGAAAGGCCACGGCUCAACCGUGGAGGAGCGUGGGAUACGCUCAGGCUAGAGGGUGGGAGAGGGUGGUGGAAUUCCCGGAGUAGCGGUGAAAUGCGCAGAUACCGGGAGGAACGCCGAUGGCGAAGGCAGCCACCUGGUCCACUUCUGACGCUGAGGCGCGAAAGCGUGGGGAGCAAACCGGAUUAGAUACCCCCGUAGUCCCUGUCUCUUAUAA
rnacentral:rRNA from 1 species